rnacentral:rRNA from 1 species
CCUACGGGCGGCUGCAGUGGGGAAUAUUGGACAAUGGGCGAAAGCCUGAUCCAGCCAUGCCGCGUGUGUGAAGAAGGCCUUCGGGCUGUAAAGCACUUUCAGUGGGGAAGAAAGCCUUGGGGCUAAUACCCUCGAGGAAGGACAUCACCCACAGAAGAAGCACCGGCUAACUCCGUGCCAGCAGCCGCGGUAAUACGGAGGGUGCGAGCGUUAAUCGGAAUUACUGGGCGUAAAGCGCGCGUAGGCGGUCUGAUAAGCCGGUUGUGAAAGCCCCGGGCUCAACCUGGGAACGGCAUCCGGAACUGUCAGGCUAGAGUGCAGGAGAGGAAGGUAGAAUUCCCGGUGUAGCGGUGAAAUGCGUAGAGAUCGGGAGGAAUACCAGUGGCGAAGGCGGCCUUCUGGACUGACACUGACGCUGAGGUGCGAAAGCGUGGGUAGCAAACAGGAUUAGAUACCCGUGUAGUC